GAUGAACGCUGGCGGCGUGCCUAACACAUGCAAGUCGAACGAAGCACCUUACCUGAUUCUUCGGAUGAAGGUCUGGUGACUGAGUGGCGGACGGGUGAGUAACGCGUGGGUAACCUGCCCUGUACAGGGGGAUAACAGUUGGAAACGGCUGCUAAUACCGCAUAAGCGCACGAGAGGACAUCCUCUUGUGUGAAAAACUCCGGUGGUACAGGAUGGGCCCGCGUCUGAUUAGCUGGUUGGCAGGGUAACGGCCUACCAAGGCGACGAUCAGUAGCCGGUCUGAGAGGAUGAACGGCCACAUUGGAACUGAGACACGGUCCCAACUCCUACGGGAGGCAGCAGUGGGGAAUAUUGCACAAUGGGGGAAACCCUGAUGCAGCAACGCCGCGUGAGUGAAGAAGUAUUUCGGUAUGUAAAGCUCUAUCAGCAGGGAAGAUAAUGACUGGUACCUGACUAAGAAGCUCCGUGCUAUAUACCGUGCCAGCAGCCGCUGGUUAAUACGUAUGGAGCAAGCGUUAUCCGGAUUUACU
rnacentral:rRNA from 1 species